rnacentral:rRNA from 1 species
UACGUAUGGUGCAAGUGUUAUCCGGAUUUACUGGGUGUAAAGGGAGCGCAGGCGGAAGGCUAAGUCUGAUGUGAAAGCCCGGGGCUCAACCCCGGUACUGCAUUGGAAACUGGUCAUCUAGAGUGUCGGAGGGGUAAGUGGAAUUCCUAGUGUAGCGGUGAAAUGCGUAGAUAUUAGGAGGAACACCAGUGGCGAAGGCGGCUUACUGGACGAUAACUGACGCUGAGGCUCGAAAGCGUGGGGAGCAAACAGG